ensembl:snRNA U6 U6 spliceosomal RNA
GUGCUUCCUUUAGCAGCACAUAUACUGAAAUUGGAAUGAUACAGACAAGAUUAGCUGGCUCCCUGCUCAAGGAUGACACAUAGAUUCAUGAAGCAGUGCAGAGAGGG